rnacentral:rRNA from 1 species
CGAGGGGUAACAGGGAGUGCUUGCACUUUGCUGACGACCGGCGCACGGGUGCGUAACGCGUAUACAAUCUACCUUUUGCUGAGGGAUAGCCCAGAGAAAUUUGGAUUAAGACCUCAUGGUAUUAUUAAUUGGCAUCGAUUGAUAAUUAAAGGUUACGGCAGAAGAUGAGUAUGCGUCCUAUUAGCUAGAUGGUGUGGUAACGGCACACCAUGGCCACGAUAGGUAGGGGCCCUGAGAGGGGGAUCCCCCACACUGGUACUGAGACACGGACCAGACUCCUACGGGAGGCAGCAGUGAGGAAUAUUGGUCAAUGGAGGCAACUCUGAACCAGCCAUGCCGCGUGCAGGAAGACUGCCCUAUGGGUUGUAAACUGCUUUUAUACGGGAAGAAACGCAGCCACGUGUGGUUGUUUGACGGUACCGUAAGAAUAAGGAUCGGCUAACUCCGUGCCAGCAGCCGCGGUAAUACGGAGGAUCCAAGCGUUAUCCGGAAUCAUUGGGUUUAAAGGGUCCGUAGGUGGAUUAAUAAGUCAGAGGUGAAAUCCUGCAGCUCAACUGUAGAACUGCCUUUGAAACUGUUAAUCUUGAGUCAUUAUGAAGUGGUUAGAAUGUGUAGUGUAGCGGUGAAAUGCAUAGAUAUUACACAGAAUACCGAUUGCGAAGGCAGAUCACUAAUAAUGUACUGACACUGAGGGACGAAAGCGUGGGGGAGCGAACAGGAUUAGAUACCCUGGUAGUCCACGCCGUAAACGAUGGUCACUAGCUGUUCGGACUUCGG